rnacentral:rRNA from 1 species
GACGAACGCUGGCGGCGUGCCUAAUACAUGCAAGUCGAGCGAAGCGGCGGAUGGGUGAGUAACGCGUGGGUAACCUGCCCUUAAGUCUGGGAUACCAUUUGGAAACAGCUGCUAAUACCGGAUACUAAAGGAUGGACCUGCGAUGCAUUAGCUAGUUGGUAAGGUAACGGCUUACCAAGGCGAUGAUGCAUAGCCGGGUGGAGGGACGGUGCGGCCCCAUUGGGACUGAGACACGGCCCAAACUCCUCCGGGAGGCAGCAGUAGUGAAUUUUCCCAAAUGGAGGAAAGGCUGAUGGAGCAACGCCGGGUGAGUGAAGAAGGUUUUCUGAUCGUAAAGCUCUGUUGUUGGUGAAGCGGUAAUCAACCAGAAAGUCACGGCUAACUACGUGCCAGCAGCCGCGGUAAUAC